rnacentral:rRNA from 1 species
UACGGAGGGUGCAAGCGUUAUCCGGAUUCACUGGGUUUAAAGGGUGCGUAGGUGGCGGGGUAAGUCUGAUGUGAAAUCUCCGAGCUUAACUCGGAAACUGCAUCGGAUACUGCCUUGCUCGAGGGUUGGAGGGGGGACUGGAAUACUUGGUGUAGCAGUGAAAUGCGUAGAUAUCAAGUGGAACACCAGUGGCGAAGGCGAGUCCCUGGACAACUCCUGACACUGAGGCACGAAAGCUAGGGGAGCAAACAGG